UUUAAUUCAAUUGUUUUGCAUAGGAAUAUAGCAAGAUUAAUCUAGAUUAAAUAGAAGGCAAUUGAUCACUUGAAAAAGGACUUUUGGCAUUUGAGAAUUCCUGUUAACAAUUCAGUAGGCAUAAUAAUUGGGAUAAUUGGAUAAUUGAUUUAUAGUUCAUAAUUGGGGAUAUUGAAGUCUUAAUCUUUAUUUAUUUGAAUU
rnacentral:lncRNA from 1 species